GAAACAAUAACGAGAAAAAAAAUACCUUGACGUUUAUCGGCGGCGCUGGUGGAGGAGGAUCCACUUUAACGUUAAUAAAUUUUAGAACGUCAUUAUAGUCCAGUUGUUCCUCUUCGUUCUUGUGAAUGCUAUAUUAUUAUUGCAAGAUCUCCACUUAUAUACGUACUGAUCAAGCAUGGAAUUUAAAAGUUCCACGUCGACUGGAAGUCUGGCAGCACGGAGCGUAGUGUACAACGUAUGGCGUGGCAAGAACCCUGUUCUUCCUCUGUCCCAAUGAUGCAGAUCCUCCUCCAAACGAUCGAGAUCGUUCCACAAAGUUCGCAAAAGUUCCGUAUGCAUUAACUGUCUGUUAAACGUCUAAUUAUUAUUCCUACUAUGUUGAAUCGAUCUUACGUCGGUGUUUCUACCAACGACGAUUGCUUACCUUAUGUAUUCCCUAGUAUGAAACUCUUUUUUCUCAUGAGACGAAUAAUGUCGAGCGAUCGUGAUUAUUUCGUGCUCUGUUAUUUUUCCUUCCAUAUACUUGCCCAAGACCUCCCUGAUUUUUCAUGAAAUUAUUGUAACAGUACAGUAUAAAUAGUAUAGUAUUUGGUGGUGUAACAAAACUGCUAUAUAAUACAAAUAAAAAGAUUGGUAGCACGUUAGGUCGUGGCUUAUAAAAUGUCUAUUUGAGGGCUUGCAAGGACUCUAAAAGACAGCUUCCGCAUAUCUUUGUUAUUUGUACUCAGUUGCUUAGUAUAAAUGUUGUGUAAUUUGUUUAAUCUUACGUGUGUAGAUUUGGUGGAUCAGAGCAUGAGGGGAGUACGGCAGGAGCUGAUUCAGCGCGCCAAAAUAAGAAGAAGAGUUCCUACAAACUGCCCAUAUGACCUUACUGUCGAGUAACAGCUUGUUUCGUGUCGUUAUAGUCGCUUAGCUACCACCCAGAAAAUCGCUCCAAGUAGUCAGGUGCAGCUUCGGUAGCAGCGUGAAUGCAUCGCAUCGUAGAUCGUGGAACCUGUUCCAACAGCUUAUACGGAUUCGUCGGCGACUUUGACGAAGAGUUUCGACACUGUCAACCGACGUUGUAUAAACAGGACACUUUAAACGCUCCUGUGACUAACAAUCGAAUGGGUCCAGGUGCGAAGAGCUAGCUGAUGAUGAAAUAAGACCAGCACGACAUAUCCAUCUUCCAGGAAGUCGUUGAUCUAAUGUGCUGAAUCAACACCUGCUGUACUUAUCCGCAUGCUCUGACUCACAUAAAUUCGUAAUCUGCAGUAGCGUGCGUUUCAACAAAUUGCAAUUGGAUUUUUUGAUUUUUACGUGACGAAUCAUUUCCUGUCACGCCGUUCGAAUACUUUCGUUAUUCGCCUCAUAGG